GAAGCAUUUACUCUAAACAAAUAUAAAAAUGGCUCUUCCUGGACCUUUGAGGUUUCUCGGCAAAAAACAUGUAGAAAUUGCCUCUCAAUGGCUUGGUACUGCUGCUGCUUUCGGUGCCACAGCUGGUAUUGGAGUAUGUUAUGCCACUGACUGGAAACUUGUCUUACAAUUUUUGCCUUACUACAAUGGCAAAUUCCCACAGGAAGAAUAAAUGUGUAUUUUUAAAUGUAAUUUAUAGUUUUAAAUAAAUAGUUACUAUUA